CCUCGUUUUUAGUUGCCAGCAUUAAGUUGGGCACUCUACAAAGACUGCCGGUGACAAACCGGAGGAAGGUGGGGAUGACGUCAAGUCAGCAUGCCCCUUACGCCCUGGGCUACACACGUACUACAAUGCUACGGACAAAGGGCAGCAAACACGCAAGUGCCAGCAAAUCCCAAAAACCGUGGCUCAGUUCAGAUUGCAGGCUGCAACUCGCCUGCAUGAAGGCGGAAUCGCUAGUAAUCGCAGGUCAGCCAUACUGCGGUGAAUACGUUCCCGGGCCUUGCACACACCGCCCGU
rnacentral:rRNA from 1 species